rnacentral:rRNA from 1 species
GAUGAACGCUGGCGGCGUGCUUAACACAUGCAAGUCGAACGAUGAACCCCACUUGUGGGGGGCUUAGUGGCGAACGGGUGAGUAACACGUGAGUAACCUGCCCUUGACUCUGGGAUAAGCCUGGGAAAACGGGUCUAAUACUGGAUACGACCUUCUGGCGCAUGCCGUGUUGGUGGAAAGCUUUUGUGGUUUUGGGUGGACUCGCGGCCUAUCAGCUUGUUGGUGGGGUAAUGGCCUACCAAGGCGACGACGGGUAGCCGGCCUGAGAGGGGGACCGGCCACACGAGGACUGAGACACGGCCGACACUCCUACGGGAGGCAGCAGUGGGGAAUAUUGCACUAUGGGCGCAAGCCUGAUGCAGCGACGCCUCGUGAGGCAUGGAGGCGUGCGUGUUGUAAACCUCUUUCUGGAGGGAAGAAGCCGGCUGUUAGGUUAGUGACGGUACCGGCAGAAGAAGCGCCGGCUAACUACGUG